AAUGUCUGGGAAACUGCCUGAUGGAGGGGGAUAACUACUGGAAACGGUAGCUAAUACCGCAUAACGUCGCAAGACCAAAGAGGGGGACCUUCGGGCCUCUUGCCAUCGGAUGUGCCCAGAUGGGAUUAGCUAGUAGGUGGGGUAACGGCUCACCUAGGCGACGAUCCCUAGCUGGUCUGAGAGGAUGACCAGCCACACUGGAACUGAGACACGGUCCAGACUCCUACGGGAGGCAGCAGUGGGGAAUAUUGCACAAUGGGCGCAAGCCUGAUGCAGCCAUGCCGCGUGUAUGAAGAAGGCCUUCGGGUUGUAAAGUACUUUCAGCGGGGAGGAAGGGAGUAAAGUUAAUACCUUUGCUCAUUGACGUUACCCGCAGAAGAAGCACCGGCUAACUCCGUGCCAGCAGCCGCGGUAAUACGGAGGGUGCAAGCGUUAAUCGGAAUUACUGGGCGUAAAGCGCACGCAGGC
rnacentral:rRNA from 1 species